rnacentral:lncRNA from 1 species
AUGCUGCUUGAGGACCCAGCUCAGCUGACAGCAGGAGCCCGUGAGCUGUGGCCUCACAGAAACUCGAAUGCUCAAACUUCGGAGUGCAUUAAGAUCCUAGUCAUACUUUGGAAUCCUGAAAGAAAACAGAGGAACCCAUUAUCUCUUGAUAAACAACAAAAUACAUCCGAACAACCCUGCUUGGGAGAAGUGUGGAGAUGCGCCGGACCUUGGGGAAAUCAGGGUUACAGGUUAUAUCUAAUAAAUUUAUGUAACAAAUUAUGGAAGACUUCGGUACAACAGAAAACUUUUCUUACUCAAUCUCAGUAUUGA